CCUACGGGUGGCAGCAGUGAGGAAUAUUGGUCAAUGGGCGCGAGCCUGAACCAGCCAAGUAGCGUGAGGGAAGACUGCCCUACGGGUUGUAAACUUCUUUUAUCAAGGAAUAAAGUGAGCCACGUGUGCCUUUUUGUAUGUAUUUUAUGAAUAAGGAUCGGCUAACUCCGUGCCAGCAGCCGCGGUAAUACGGAGGAUCCGAGCGUUAUCCGGAUUUAUUGGGUUUAAAGGGAGCGUAGAUGGGUUGUUAAGUCAGUUGUGAAAGUUUGCGGCUCAACCGUAAAAGUGCAAUUGAUACUGGCAUCCUUGAGUAAAGUUGAGGUAUGCGGAAUUCGUGGUGUAGCGGUGAAAUGCUGAGAUAUCACGAAGAACUCCGAUUGCGAAGGCAGCCUACUAAACUGCCACUGACAUUGAUGCUCGAAAGUGUGGGUAUCAAACAGGAUUAGAUACCCUUGUAGUC
rnacentral:rRNA from 1 species